rnacentral:rRNA from 1 species
UACAGGCUUAACACAUGCAAGUCGAGGGGCAUCAUUUUAUUUUGCUUGCAAACUGAAGAUGGCGACCGGCGCACGGGUGAGUAACACGUAUCCAACCUGCCGAUAACUCCGGAAUAGCCUUUCAAAAGAAAGAUUAAUACCGGAUAGCAUACGAAUAUCGCAUGAUAUUUUUAUUAAAGAAUUUCGGUUAUCGAUGGGGAUGCGUUCCAUUAGUUUGUUGGCGGGGUAACGGCCCACCAAGACUACGAUGGAUAGGGGUUCUGAGAGGAAGGUCCCCCACAUUGGAACUGAGACACGGUCCAAACUCCUACGGGAGGCAGCAGUGAGGAAUAUUGGUCAAUGGGCGAGAGCCUGAACCAGCCAAGUAGCGUGAAGGAUGAAGGCUCUAUGGGUCGUAAACUUCUUUUAUAUGGGAAUAAAGUUUUCCACGUGUGGAAUUUUGUAUGUACCAUAUGAAUAAGGAUCGGCUAACUCCGUGCCAGCAGCCGCGGUAAUACGGAGGAUCCGAGCGUUAUCCGGAUUUAUUGGGUUUAAAGGGAGCGUAGGUGGAUUGUUAAGUCAGUUGUGAAAGUUUGCGGCUCAACCGUAAAAUUGCAGUUGAAACUGGCAGUCUUGAGUACAGUAGAGGUGGGCGGAAUUCGUGGUGUAGCGGUGAAAUGCUUAGAUAUCACGAAGAACUCCGAUUGCGAAGGCAGCUCACUAGACUGUCACUGACACUGAUGCUCGAAAGUGUGGGUAUCAAACAGGAUUAGAUACCCUGGUAGUCCACACAGUAAACGAUAAAUGGUCGCUGUUUGCGAUAUACAGUAAGCGGCCCAAGCGAAAGCAUUAAGUAUUCCACCUGGGGAAGUACGCCGGCAACGGUGAAACUCAAAGGAAUUGACGGGGGCCCGCACAAGCGGAGGAACAUGUGGUUUAAUUCGAUGAUACGCGAGGAACCUUACCCGGGCUUAAAUUGCAACAGAAUAUAUUGGAAACAGUAUAGCCGUAAGGCUGUUGUGAAGGUGCUGCAUGGUUGUCGUCAGCUCGUGCCGUGAGGUGUCGGCUUAAGUGCCAUAACGAGCGCAACCCUUAUCUUUAGUUACUAACAGGUUAUGCUGAGGACUCUAGAGAGACUGCCGUCGUAAGAUGUGAGGAAGGUGGGGAUGACGUCAAAUCAGCACGGCCCUUACGUCCGGGGCUACACACGUGUUACAAUGGGGGGUACAGAAGGCGGCUACCUGGUGACAGGAUGCUAAUCCCAAAAACCUCUCUCAGUUCGGAUCGAAGUCUGCAACCCGACUUCGUGAAGCUGGAUUCGCUAGUAAUCGCGCAUCAGCCAUGGCGCGGUGAAUACGUUCCCGGGCCUUGCACU